GACGUAGGGGACGAGCGUUGUCCGGAUUCAUUGGGCGUAAAGCGCGCGUAGGCGGUUACGCAAGUCGGUUGUGAAAAUCCGGGGCUCAACCCCGGACCUGCAUCCGAUACUGCGUGACUAGAGGUAGGUAGGGGAGAUCGGAAUUCCUGGUGUAGCGGUGAAAUGCGUAGAGAUCAGGAGGAAUACCGAUGGCGAAGGCAGUGCUCUGGGCUAACACUGACGCUGAGGUGCGAAAGCGUGGGGAGCGAACGGG
rnacentral:rRNA from 1 species